rnacentral:rRNA from 1 species
GACGAACGCUGGCGGCGUGCUUAACACAUGCAAGUCGAGCGAGAAACCCUCUUCGGAGGGGAGUACAGCGGCGAACGGGUGAGUAACACGUGGGCAACCUGCCCCAAGGAGCGGGACGAACCCGGGGAAACCCGGGCUAAUACCGCAUGAUUCGUGGUGCCUCAAGGCACCUCGGUAAAUGGUAGCUUCGGCCUCCGCCUUGGGAUGGGCCCGCGGCGCAUUAGCUUGUUGGUGAGGUAAGGGCUCACCAAGGCGACGAUGCGUAGCUGGUCUGAGAGGACGAUCAGCCACACUGGGACUGAGACACGGCCCAGACUCCUACGGGAGGCAGCAGUGGGGAAUCUUGCGCAAUGGGCGGAAGCCUGACGCAGC